rnacentral:rRNA from 1 species
AAUCAACGCUGGCGGCGUGCCUAACACAUGCAAGUCGAACGAGAAAAUCCGGCUGUAGCAAUACAGUUGGGUGAGUAAAGUGGCGUACGGGUGAGUAACACGUAGCCAACCUACCCUCGAGUGGGGAAUAACCUGGGGAAACCUGGGCUAAUGCCGCAUAACAUCCCGGUGACACAAGCCGCUGGGAUCAAUGGCCCGCAAGGGUCGCUGGAGGAGGGGGCUGCGGCCGAUUAGCUAGUUGGUGAGGUAACGGCUCACCAAGGCGAUGAUCGGUAGCCGGCCUGAGAGGGCGCACGGCCACACUGGCACUGAAACACGGGCCAGACUCCUACGGGAGGCAG